rnacentral:rRNA from 1 species
UACGAAGGGUGCAAGCGUUAAUCGGAAUUACUGGGCGUAAAGCGUGCGUAGGCGGUGAUUUAAGUCUGCUGUGAAAUCCCCGGGCUCAACCUGGGAAUGGCAGUGGAUACUGGAUCGCUAGAGUGUGAUAGAGGAUGGUGGAAUUCCCGGUGUAGCGGUGAAAUUCGUAGAUAUUGGGAAGAACACCGGUGGCGAAGGCGGCUCACUGGCCCGUAACUGACGCUCAUGCACGACAGCGUGGGGAUCAAACAGG